CUACGGAGGGUGCAAGCGUUACUCGGAAUCACUGGGCGUAAAGCGCGCGCAGGCGGGCUGAUAAGUUGGAUGUGAAAGCCUACGGCUCAACCGUAGAACUGCAUCCAAAACUGUCAGUCUAGAGUCUGGGAGGGGAAGAUGGAAUUAGUUGUGUAGGGGUAAAAUCCGUAGAGAUAACUAGGAAUACCAAAAGCGAAGGCGAUCUUCUGGAACAGUACUGACGCUGAGGCGCGAAAGCGUGGGGAGCAAACAGGAUUAGAAACCCGAGUAGUCC
rnacentral:rRNA from 1 species